AAUUUAAUAGGUUUUUAGUACUGCUGACACAAUGGAUACUUGGAAUUGGUUCCAUACAGAAUAAGGAAAAGAGAAAAAAUUGAUUCUCUUUCCACCUAAUUGAUUCUUUAUUUUUGGUAGAGAAAAUGUGGGAAAAAUAGAGAUAAUAAGGUGUCGUGAGAUUAAAAAAAAUGAUGGAAAAGAAGGGCAACCUUUAUCCACUCACGUUCAAACCCUACAACGUCUAUCUCAAGACGAUUUCCUAUCUAUCUCAAAACAAUUUUCCCUUCUAUUCAGGAUUUUGGCAGCCAAAGUUAUCUAGUUCCCCUCACAUUCAUGUUUUAAUCAUUUCCUCUCUCCUAUGAAGAUUUUGCGUCUAGUGCUGUGGAUUUUGAAAACCAAAUUCUCCAAUUAAGGUACAGUUGGUGAUCAUGCAAGGUUUGACCUUGUGUUGUGGUCCAACAAACCUAGGAGCAAUCCAAUAUUAUGUUGUGGGCACGAGGGAAAUUUAGUCUUAUGUUGUGGGCCCGGGGGCAAUCCAUUCUUAUGUUGUGGGCCAAGGGGCAAUCCAGUCUUAUGUUUUAUGUUGUGGGCCAGGUACCGUUGGUGAUCGUGGGAAGGGAAAGGCAUGAUUGUACACACACAUCAGCAACAAUGGAGAUUCAGUAAUAUUUAUAUUGCUCGGAUUUAAAACAACUGUAUUUUGGAACCAAUUGGUUUUAAUAACUUCC